GUGCCGCUAGCUCAGUUGGUAGAGCAUCUGACUUUUAAUCAGAUGGUCGUAGGUUCGAUCCCUACGCGGCACACCA
rnacentral:tRNA from 4 species